rnacentral:rRNA from 1 species
UACGGAGGGGGUUAGCGUUGUUCGGAAUUACUGGGCGUAAAGCGCGCGUAGGCGGAUCAGAAAGUUGGGGGUGAAAUCCCGGGGCUCAACCUCGGAACUGCCUCCAAAACUCCUGGUCUUGAGUUCGAGAGAGGUGAGUGGAAUUCCGAGUGUAGAGGUGAAAUUCGUAGAUAUUCGGAGGAACACCAGUGGCGAAGGCGGCUCACUGGCUCGAUACUGACGCUGAGGUGCGAAAGUGUGGGGAG